rnacentral:tRNA from 1 species
GUAGUACCCUACCCCCAGGGGAAUUCGAAUCCCCGCUGCCUCCUUGAAAGAGAGAUGUCCUAACCCACUAGAC